rnacentral:rRNA from 1 species
GAUGAACGCUGGCGGCGUGCCUAAUACAUGCAAGUCGAGCGAACAGACGAGGAGCUUGCUCCUCUGACGUUAGCGGCGGACGGGUGAGUAACACGUGGAUAACCUACCUAUAAGACUGGGAUAACUUCGGGAAACCGGAGCUAAUACCGGAUAAUAUAUUGAACCGCAUGGUUCAAUAGUGAAAGACGGUUUUGCUGUCACUUAUAGAUGGAUCCGCGCCGCAUUAGCUAGUUGGUAAGGUAACGGCUUACCAAGGCAACGAUGCGUAGCCGACCUGAGAGGGUGGUCGGCCACACUGGAACUGAGACACGGUCCAGACUCCUACGGGAGGCAGCAGUAGGGAAUCUUCCGCAAUGGGCGAAAGCCUGACGGAGCAACGCCGCGUGAGUGAUGAAGGUCUUCGGAUCGUAAAACUCUGUUAUUAGGGAAGAACAAAUGUGUAAGUAACUAUGCCCGUCUUGACGGUACCUAAUCAGAAAGCCACGGCUAACUACGUG